rnacentral:rRNA from 1 species
AUGAACGCUGGCGGCGUGCUUAACACAUGCAAGUCGAACGAAGCACUUUAUUACGAUUUCUUCGGAAUGACGAUUUAGUGACUGAGUGGCGGACGGGUGAGUAACGCGUGGGUAACCUGCCUUAGUACAGGGGGGAUAACAGUUAGAAAUGACUGCUAAUACCGCAUAAGCGCACAGGAUUGCAUGAUCUGGUGUGAAAAAACUCCGGUGGUAUAAGAUGGACCCGCGUCUGAUUAGCUGGUUGGUCGAGGUAACGGCCCACCAAGGCGACGAUCAGUAGCCGACCUGAGAGGGUGACCGGCCACAUUGGGACUGAGACACGGCCCCAGACUCCUACGGGAGGCAGCAGUGGGGAAUAUUGCACAAUGGAGGAAACUCUGAUGCAGCGACGCCGCGUGAGUGAAGAAGUAAUUUCGUUAUGUAAAGCUCUAUCAGCAGGGAAGAUAGUGACGGUACCUGACUAAGAAGCUCCGGCUAAAUACGUG